rnacentral:rRNA from 1 species
GACGAACGCUGGCGGCGUGCUUAACACAUGCAAGUCGAGCGGUAAGGCCCUUUCGGGGGUACACGAGCGGCGAACGGGUGAGUAACACGUGGGUGACCUGCCCUCAGCUCUGGGAUAAGCCUGGGAAACCGGGUCUAAUACUGGAUAUGACUCCAUGACGCAUGUUGUGGGGUGGAAAGCCUUGUGCGGCUGAGGAUGGGCCCGCGGCCUAUCAGCUUGUUGGUGGGGNGAUGGCCUACCAAGGCGACGACGGGUAGCCGGCCUGAGAGGGCGACCGGCCACACUGGGACUGAGACACGGCCCAGACUCCUACGGGAGGCAGCAGUGGGGAAUCUUGCGCAAUGGGCGAAAGCCUGAACGCAGCGACGCCGCGUGAGGGAUGACGGCCUGGUGUAC